AGCUGACUUCCUCCUCAGGGUCUGCAGGAUGAAAUGUCUCCUCAUGUUAUUUUCUAGAAGGGAAGGGGGAAGGGGAUUCCCCCCCCGUCCCCCCCAGGCAGUGGCGCACUGGGUUAAGCACACAUAGUACGAAGCCCAAGGACCUGUGUAAGGAUCUCGGUUCGAGACUACAGCUCCCCACCUUCAGGAAGGUCACUUCACAAGCAAUGAAGCAGGUGACUUGACCUUGGGCCCUUGUGUUUGGUAAUACAUGCACUUAACCAGGUGCGCCACCAUCAGGCCCCUUCUCAUUUCUCUAAUGCUACUCAUCAGUCAUUGGACAUCUGUGUUGCUUCCAAGCUUGGGCAAUUACAAAUUGUGCUUCUGCGGACAAAGGUAUACAGAGAUCUCUUCUGAUAGGUGUUUUUGUUUCCUUGGGGUAAAUCCCCAAGUAAGAAAUUGCUGGGCCAUACAGCAGGUGUAUUUCUAGUGUUCUGAGAAAUCUGCAGUCUGUUUUCCACAAAGGUUGAAUUAAUUUAUAUUCCCACUAACAGUGAAGGAGUGUCCUUUUUCCUGUCUUUUUUUUUUUUUUUAAUUUACCUUUAUUUAUUUAUUGGAUAGAAACAGCCAGAAGUCAAGAGUGAAGGGGGUGGUAGAAAAGGAAGAGAGAGAGACACCUGAAUCACUGAUUCACUACUCACAAGGCUUCCCCCUUGUAGGUGGGGACCAGGGGUUCGAACCUAGGUCCUUGUGCAUUGCAACCUGUGCACCCAACCAGGUGAGCCACCACCC